AGCACAGCAGUGACUAUGGGAAUGGACAACCAUGUUAAUUAGCCAGAACUGUGAUUGUGAGAUUGUGAUUGUGAGAUUUGUGAUAAUCAUUUCGCAGUGCACAGGAGCGUAGGACUCACAACGCACUCCUUAAAUUCGUCCAGUGUCUUCCAGCAAGGUAAACUUCCUUCUCGUUCCCAUUUCGUCCCAGGCCGGACUUAUUCUGGACCCACGUGUCUUGGAGGUUCUGAGUUGCUUUAAGCACAUAUAGUGGAAAAAAUGGAAUUAGCUUUUAGAAUGUUUCAGGUUGUCAAGGAAACAGACAAAAGCUUUCUCACUGAGCCAGGGUUCCAGCUUCUGGACAAACAGGCCUCCCAGCCGUGGCCACGAAGGGGAAUUCUCUGAGGCUCUGCUGGGGUAGCAGUGGGCAGGGAGUGGGGACAGGACAAGGAGGAAUGGGUCUUAGUGCCUUCAAGUCGGAGAUGCUGCUGUCUCAAUUUACGGUUGACACGAUAUUUACAUCCAAGUGAAGAGCACAAUAACCUGGCUGGAAUUUCCAGGCCAGCAUCCCAAAAGAAUAGAGCCCUGCACGUUGUGAAAGCUGCCUUUUAUUUGGAAAGAAGCCUUUGGAGAUGGAUGGAGUAAGAAGGUUCCAGGGGAAGAACACAGCUGUGAAUAUGUCACCGAGAGCGACAGCGGACGGGAGAAGGACCUGGCCGUGCGGUUGCUUUGCCGUGAAGCUAAGCUGGAUGCCUCGUGUUUGUUUCCGCGAGACUGAAGAAUUAGAUUCUAGAGUCCUGCCUGUGGAGUUCUCAGGCGAACAUCUGACUGUGCAACAGAGGAGCAAUGUAGCUGACUCUUGGAAUGGCCGUGUCCUUAUCGUGGUCCUGGUUACUGAAGUCCAUGCAUUGGGGCUACUUCGAUGGUGGCUCCUGGGCAUCCGUGAAACGUCUGAUUCCUCUCAGCUAGGGCCAGGCUACGUGAGGCCCCGGGGCUGACAGCAGAGGGCUCCUUCUGAAGAAACAAUGAGUCUCCUGCCGGGAAGGCAGACUUUGAAGACUCCGCUUCUAUCUGUGGGCUUCUCCCCGGCUUCCCUGAGCGCCAACUGCUCUUUCUCUUCUGUUGCUCGUUUCCCACCAAAGCCCAAGCAGUGUGAAAGAGCGCAUGGUCUGUAUCGGCUACAAAGUAUCUGGACACAAAGCCAGCCCCUCUGUACCCUGCUCAGAAGACCCAUUCCUGCUAUCCGAAGUCUGGCUGAUUUUUCUCUCCACUGUUAAUUCUCGUGCCUAGAUUCGUUCAUGGACACAUUUCCACCCAGGCUACAGGCUGUUUUUGAAGACGACGGAAGUUACUUUUGUCAUCUCCCACAUCACUGAUUCGCUGUCUGGCCUUCUGACAGCUGUGAAAAUAGCCUCAGCAUUGCUCGUCUUCGUAGCUGAAUUUCCAAGAGCACUCGGUUCCCCCGGAGAGGAGACUGCUGCGUGGAUUCUGUAAUUGUGGUCAGUCGGUCAUCGUGUCUCCUUUUGGCCUGUGGCUGGAGAAAUUCAUGCCGGACUUCCUGCUCUCCUUUUGAUUGAGUAAAUGGUGGGUAAAGGGAUUGGACACCCCCUUCCCCUUUGCUAUGUUAAGUUUAAGUGUCCGUGUCCUCCCUAAAACUCAUACUUUGGGCCCGUGGCCUGCAAGGCGAAGGUAUCAGGAGAUGGGGCCCUUGUGGGGUGAUCAGGUCAUGAGGGUGGGUUCCCCUGAGUGGGAUGGGUGCCCCUACAGCAGAGGCCCUGGAGAGCCGCUUUGCCCCGCCCACCACGUGCGGCACGGAGGGAAGGCUCCGGUGCAGGAGCCGGGAAGCAGGCCCCAGGCAGCACAGGAGCUGGCAGCACCAUGGCCUUGCAGUUCCUCUCCAGACUGCGAGGAGGAGGAAAUGUCUGCGAUGCGUAAGCUGCCCAGCCUAGGGCACUCUAGUUAGCACCUGGAACACACUAAACAAUUUGUCUGUAGCCUUAACGCUGUCUGCAUUGUGGGUCAACGCCUCACCCACCUCCGUGCACACACACAUGGCCUGUGGGGAGUGGUCACAGGAAUCUAUCACCCCAAGCCAUUGCUCUGUGGAUGCCUACUUCAGGCAGGCACAUUCACCAAAAUAAUAAUAAUAAUAAAUAAGGCAAGGAAAAGUGUAGCUAGAAGAGAAAGAUUUUGUUUCUUUUUUUUUUAAUUUUUAUUUUUUUUUGACAGGCAGAGUGGACAGUGAGAGAGAGAGACAGAGAGAAAGGUCUUCCUUUGCCGUUGGUUCACCCUCCAAUGGCCGCCACGGUCGGCGCGCUGCGGCCGGCGCACCGCGCUGAUCCGAUGGCAGGA